UGCUGGCAGCUAGCUCUCUGCAACUCUUACAUGGUUGCUCACUGAAGCAAAGCAGGGCUGCGCCUGUUCAGUACCUGGAUGGGAGACCACAUGGGAAAGCUAGGUUGCUCCUGAAA
rfam:Danio rerio chromosome 15, GRCz11 reference primary assembly.